rnacentral:ncRNA from 2 species
CACAACUGAACGGGGAGCCUGCCCUACAGGCUGAGAGGAGCGUACAACGCUCGACCCGCAUUACCUGAUCUGGUUCAUACCAGCGGAGGGAUUUUUAUAUUUCAACCA